AAGACCUUGCACUUUUGGAGCGGCCGAUGUCUGAUUAGCUAGUUGGUGGGGUAAUGGCCUACCAAAGCUUCGAUCAGUAGCUGGUCUGAGAGGACGGCCAGCCACACUGGGACUGAGACACGGCCCAGACUCCUACGGGAGGCAGCAGUGGGGAAUUUUGGACAAUGGGCGCAAGCCUGAUCCAGCCAUGCCGCGUGAGUGAAGAAGGCCCUCGGGUUGUAAAGCUCUUUCAGUCGAGAAGAAAAGGUUACGACUAAUAAUCGUGAUCCAUGACGGUAUCGACAGAAGAAGCACCGGCUAACUACGUGCCAGCAGCCGCGGUAAUACGUAGGGUGCGAGCGUUAAUCGGAAUUACUGGGCGUAAAGGGUGCGCAGGCGGUUUUGUAAGUCAGAUGUGAAAUCCCCGGGCUUAACCUGGGAACU
rnacentral:rRNA from 1 species